AGUGAACGCUGGCGGUAGGCCUAACACAUGCAAGUCGAACGGCAGCACAGAGGAGCUUGCUCCUUGGGUGGCGAGUGGCGGACGGGUGAGGAAUACAUCGGAAUCUACUCUGUCGUGGGGGAUAACGUAGGGAAACUUACGCUAAUACCGCAUACGACCUACGGGUGAAAGCAGGGGAUCUUCGGACCUUGCGCGAUUGAAUGAGCCGAUGUCGGAUUAGCUAGUUGGCGGGGUAAAGGCCCACCAAGGCGACGAUCCGUAGCUGGUCUGAGAGGAUGAUCAGCCACACUGGAACUGAGACACGGUCCAGACGCCUACGGGAGGCAGCAGUGGGGAAUAUUGGACAAUGGGCGCAAGCCUGAUCCAGCCAUACCGCGUGGGUGAAGAAGGCCUUCGGGUUGUAAAGCCCUUUUGUUGGGAAAGAAAUCCAUCUGGUUAAUACCCGGGUGGGAUGACGGUACCCAAAGAAUAAGCACCGGCUAACUUCGUGCCAGCAGCCGCCGUAAGAC
rnacentral:rRNA from 1 species